rnacentral:rRNA from 1 species
AUUGAACGCUGGCGGCAGGCCUAACACAUGCAAGUCGAGCGGAUGAAGGGAGCUUGUUCCUGGAUUGAGCGGCGGACGGGUAAGUAAUGCCUAGGAAUCUGCCUGGUCGUGGGGGAUACGGUCCGGUACCGGCACCGAUUCCCGAUACCGCCCAACGGGGGAAGAGGGGGGCUCUUCGUCCCCAUGGCUAUUGGCUUGGCCUAGGUGGGAUUAGCAAGUGGGUGGGGUAACGGCCUACCAAGCCGACGAUCCCUAGCUGGUCUGAGAGGAUGAGCAGCCACACUGGAACUGAGACACGGUCCAGACUCCUACGGGAGGCAGCAGUGGGGAAUAUUGGACAAUGGGCGAAAGCCUGAUCCAGCCAUGCCGCGUGUGUGAAGAAGGUCUUCGGAUUGUAAAGCACUGUAAGGUGGGAGGAAGGUCAGUAAGUUAAUACCUUGCUGUUUUGACGUUACCAACAGAAGAAGCACCGGCUAACUUCGUG